rnacentral:rRNA from 1 species
GACGAACCGUCCAAGCGUUGUUCGGAAUCACUGGGCUUACAGAGUUCGUAGGCGGUCUGUAAAGUUGGGUGUGAAAUCCCUCGGCCUAACCGAGGAACUGCGCUUGAAACUACCAGACUCGAGGGAGAUAGAGGAAAGCGGAACUGAUGGUGGAGCGGUGAAAUGCGUUGAUAUCAUCAGGAACACCGGUGGCGAAGGCGGCUUUCUGGGUCUUACCUGACGCUGAGGAACGAAAGCGAGGGGAGCGAACGGG